rnacentral:ncRNA from 1 species
AUCAUACUUUUGACAUCAGGUAAUGCCGCAGAGAAUAACCCUGCAGCGGAAGUCCGGUGAAAAUCCGGCGCAGCCCCCGCUACUGUAAUGCAGACGAAAUCCGAACAUGCCACUGGGAAACCGGGAAGGCCGGAGAGUAGGACGAAGCAAAGCCAGGAGACCUGCCUGAAAACACAGAACGGG